AGCGCAGCAGCUGGAAGAGUUGGACGUGUCGCCAGGACUCUAUGACCUGUGCUGGAGACCUGACGGCCAGGCCAGCAGCCAGGACCUCUUCAAGGUGGGGGCUUCUCUGAAUUUGUGGUCCUGCCUGGCUGGGGCCACAGCCGAGAAGAGGUCAGCCAUGUCAUCUGAGCCUCCCCCGCCACCGCAGCCUCCCACGCAUCAGACGUCUAUAGGGCUAUUGGACACCCCUCGUGCCCGGGAUCGCUCUCCAUCCCCUCUGCGGGGCAACGUCGUCCCUAGCCCUUUGCCUACCCGCCGGACAAGGACCUUUUCAGCG
rnacentral:lncRNA from 1 species